AGAGUUUGAUCCUGGCUCAGGAUGAACGCUAGCUACGGGCUUAACGCAUGCAAGUCGAGGGGAAACGAUAUUGGAAGCUUGCUUCCGAUAGGCGUCGACCGGCGCACGGGUGAAUAACGCGUAUCCAACCUGCCCACCACUUGGGGAUAACCUUGCGAAAGUAAGACUAAUACCCAAUGAUAUCUCUAGAAGACAUCUGAAAGAGAUUAAAGAUUUAUCGGUGAUGGAUGGGGAUGCGUCUGAUUAGCUUGUUGGCGGGGUAACGGCCCACCAAGGCAACGAUCAGUAGGGGUUCUGAGAGGAAGGUCCCCCACAUUGGAACUGAGACACGGUCCAAACUCCUACGGGAGGCAGCA
rnacentral:rRNA from 1 species